rnacentral:misc_RNA from 1 species
GAAAAAUUCAAAGUUGGCUGAACGAAGCUAUAAGGUUUUGGCAAUUUUGUGUUUAUUGCAGAGUUUUCUAGCUGGGCUGAAGGUGUUGGCGUGGAAAGUUGAAACAAUGGAAAUUGAUGUUUUCUUUUUUGUUGUUGUUGUUUGCUUUACUGCCUCAGGCCAGAAUUGUUUCUGCAGAUCACUGCCAGAAUCAAUGAAUCACAGAUAAAUCAAGAUCUUUU